UUUUGUGGGGUGCUCGAGUGGCGAACGGGUGAGUAACACGUGAGUAACCUGCCCUUGACUUUGGGAUAACUUCAGGGAACCGGGGCUAAUACCGGAUAGGAGCUCCUGCUGCAUGGUGGGGGUUGGAAAGUUUCGGCGGUUGGGGAUGGACUCGCGGCUUAUCAGCUUGUUGGUGGGGUAGUGGCUUACCAAGGCUUUGACGGGUAGCCGGCCUGAGAGGGUGACCGGCCACAUUGGGACUGAGAUACGGCCCAG
rnacentral:rRNA from 1 species